CUGUUCACCUCAGCUCUGUGGUCGGUAAUGGCUCUAUGUGUGUGGUUUGGGUGUGGGCGGAUUCGUGCACACGCUGCCCUGGUAGCUCUCAUACUCCCAUGUGGCUGACCGCAGCUGGGCUUCAGAAAAACGUUGUUGCCAUGACCAUGAGGGUAUUUCCUCCCAGAAUUGAUCUCCUUUUCCUCUAGUACAGAUAGAGGCAAGACUCUAAAGACAUUUUUUAUUCUGUUUUCAUUCUUUUGGGGCCAACUUUCUACCUUGCAUUUUAAUAAAACAAAUGCACAAAACUGCCAAUUGCAGGUACCUUGGGUUGAGUUCAUUCUGGCACCAGUGAGCUUUCACCCCAGGGAGGCAGAAGCAGUCAAAAAAUGAAAGCAGCUCCUUUUGAAGUAAACAGGCUCCCCUUGCCUGCUACCCUGUGAUUGCUUCUCUCUUAGGGAUGGCCGGAAGUCUGCACUAGUGCCAGCAUCAGAACAGAAGCUGUGUCCUGUAUCAGAAUCUGAAAAAGCCCAAGUUGCAUGAAUGAAGGGGUCCUACUCUGUCACACAGGCUGGAGUGCAGUGGCAUGAUCAU